rnacentral:lncRNA from 1 species
UUUCGGUUUUAGUUGACAAAUUCGGGAUAGAAUUGACAAUCUUAUGAAUGUUUACAUUAAUGUAAUUUUUUUUCGGAUAAAAUCGUUUUUCAAAAAAUACUAUAACAAACUUUGAUAACGUGUCCUGUAAAGUUUACCAAAAGGACUUUUUGUACCUUUUCGCAUGGACUGGCUCAAUUAUCAUUUUCAAAAUCACAAAAAAACAAAAAAAAUCGAAAUUGCCAAAAAGCAAUGAAAUAUCGAAAUACUUAUAAUACUUCAUAUCUAACGUUAUAAUUUAAUGCAAAUAUUGACAUAUAAUUAUCCCUAGCAACUAAAAUUCUCC